GACCUGUUAGUGCAGUUGGAAGCGCGCCCGUCCUAUCUAAGACUUGGAUUGUCUGGUAUGCAGGAGGCCUCGGUUCAAAUCCGGGACAGGUCG